GUGGAGAGCUCAAUUGAUAGAGCAUGGCGUACGCACCGCCAGGGUUAGGGGUUCGAUUCCCCCUGGGGUGGGGUGACCCACA